UAACAUUUUAAAAUACACUACGGCUAGCACAAUAUGAAUCAGGAAAUAGCUGUAUAUAUAGCUGAGGAUGUGCAAAUACUUACAAUGUAAGACGUUCCUGUCUUAAAAUUAUUAAAUCAUCGCAAGAUUCUGUGGGUUUAAUCUGAUCAGCUCCACUUAGAAGAGGAGAGCCCUUUGAUAUGCAAGUGUGAAUUCAAAUGCAGACCCUAAAUGUAUGUGUAUUCUUCUUGAGACAGGUACUGUGAAACCGAUAAAUACACUCCCUAGUGGUUCCGUACAAGGCUAUGGAGUAAAUAUUGACAGUCUUAACCAAUUAGCCAUUUGAAAUAAAAUUCCUUACUGUUGUUUCUUACUGAUAAAUGCUAAAUUUAUCAGUUUGAACCACUCAGAAAUAUUCUUUAGAUCUCUGCCUUUUUUUUCUUUUUACAGCUGCACCCAAGACAUAUGGUAGUUCUGGGCUAGGAGUCAAGUCAGAGCUGCAGCUGCAGGCCUACACACCACAGCCAUAGCAACGCCGGAUCUGAGCCACAUCUGCGACCUGUGCCACAGCUUGUCGCAACACUGGCUCCUUAACCUACUCAGCGAGGCCAGGGAUCAAACUCGUAUCUUCAUGGAUACCAGUUUGGGUUCUUAACCUGCUGAGCCACAAUGGGAACUCCAUAGAGCUCUGAUUUCUUUAAAAAGUAUAUUCUCUGGCUGUUGGUCUAUUUGCAACUUUUUUUUUUAUUACGAUCGCCCAGUGAAGUUUGGAUAUUCAACAAGGACUAUAUGGUUUGCUAAUAAAUAUCACAAUAAGAUAAAUGUUUGUGUAUGUAUUUAUAUGUAUGUAGUACUUCACUCGAUAAUAAUAAUAGUAUUAUAUUAGCAAUUUAAUUUGAAGGUGUUAGGGUAUAGAUAUUGAAAAUUUGUUUUAUCGAACUCUUGGAAGAAAAAAUUCACCUUUUUUUUUUUUUUUGCUUUUGAGGACUGUACCUGCACAUAGGAAGUUCCCAGGCUAGGGGUUGAUUCAGAGCAACAGCUGCAGGCCUACAGCACAGCCACAGCAACUUGGGGUCUGAGCCACGUCUGCAGCCUACACCACAGCUCACGGCACCACUGGAUCCCCGACCCACUGAGUGAGGCCAGGGGUCAAAGCCGCAUGCUCAUGGAUACAGUUGGAUUCCUUUCUGCUGUGCCGCAGUGGGGCCUCCUCCUCUUCUGACUUGUGACGGUGAAUACGGAACUUUAUCAUUUGUGCGCAGUAUCCUUGCGAGUGUAGGAGAGACUUCCCUUUGUGUUCCUCACCUGAGUGUGCGCCUUACCAGGGCCUGUCCCCCUUUCUGGUCACCUGGUUAUGCGCCCCAAGUAGCGGGAACCCCAGUGACAGUCGGCGUCCCGAGGCUGGGAGGCCACUGCCUCUGAAAUGAGACUCGUAAAACAAGUAAGGCCCUUACGGACCGGACCUGAGGGUGAGGAUAGGAAACCACAUUCAGUAGCACAGGAUCUUCGGGACCUCGUUACUCCGGAGUUGUAGACGACACUUCCCUGUCUGGAAAGGUGGAGCCGUGGGUCCCUUGGCUGCUGUGUGCCUUUGGUGGCUCCUGAACAGCUCUUCUUGAGUUCCCCCUGUGAGGAGCUUCAUGGUGAGCCCUGGGAGUGUGGAAAGAACUCAGUGCACAUGAAGCAAUAGCGCUGUAGCCACAUAAGGACAGUUUUAGUUUCAAGCACAUAACGGUGUUACUUUCACACCAUCGGUUUGAUUCAAAGCAGACGGAUCGUGACCUAGAAUUUCAAAACAGGGACAAUUCUACCAGCAUUCUUCUGAGCUGUAUGUUCUGAAAUGUCCCCUGAAGUAUCUGGAAAGACGUAAUCCCGUAUGCAGAUUUUCCAGACGUGGGGCGUGCACUUCCACCCCGUCGAGUCACUGAGGGUGCUGUGAAGUGAGGACCUCUCUGCGGAGUUCUCCAUUUCAGGGUGAGGCGCCUCUGACUUUGAUGUAUUUUGUUUCGAGAGUAUUUUCCUUGUUCCCCCCUUCAUUUUCCUCGACUAGUGGAUAUGAAUUUGCUGGAUGAAACCUGAAAUUCUACUUAAAAAACCAUAUACAAGUGAACCCAUUAUGAAAGAUGUUAUUAAAGAGAAUAAGUUAUUGCUUGACCUCAUUCAUUACAUUAAGCCAGUAUAUAGUAUCUGCAGAUACGCCAUCUGUGUCUGUUUCCUAGGACCCUGCCAUAACACGGCACCAAAAUCUAGAUGGUUUAAAACCACGGAAGUUGAUCGUCUUACUGUUCCAUAGAUGAGAAGCCUGAGAUGAAGGGGAGAGUGCUUCCUUGAUUCUGUCAGCUUCUGGUGUUUGCCCACGAGGCUCGGCCUCACUCGGCUUCUAGAGGCUUCAUUCGAGCCACGAGGCCAUCUUUUCCGUGUGUAUCUUUCCAUCAUUACCUCUCUGUGCGUGUCCUCCUUGUCCACACCUCCCUUUUUCAUAAGCGCAACAGUUAUAUUGGCCUAUGGGGUACCUUAGUGCCCUCAUUUUAACUGCAUUUCCUAAGGUCACGUUCAGAGGUACUGGGCCUUAAGACUUCAGCUUAUCUUUCUUUUUCUUUUCUUUUUCUUUUGGAGAAUAUACCACCUCAUGCUGGAAAUGGGGAGGACGUUUUUCAUUCAUUUAGGACGUGCUUACUGGAGUCAAGUUACGAGACAGAGACACACAAGCCAGGUAGUGGCAAACCUUUAAAAAAUGUCUAUCAUUAUUCAUUAUUUAUUCACUUAUUUAAACGAUACAGACAAACCUCAUGGAUUAAAGCAGCACAGUUAGCAAAGGGUGUGUUUUCGGGACACUGGUGUCAGAGAUUGUCAUCAUGUGAGAAAAGGUUUCUAGGCCUAAAAAAAAAAAAGGACGAAAUGUUGGGUUAAAUAGUUCGAAAUGUUCAUUACUGCAAGACUUCUCAGAGCCUUGAAUAUGCUCUUGGGCUCUGAGAAGCACCAGCAGGAGGCCAAACAAACUUACUUAUUUCCCAAACUUACUUGACCACAGAACUUUUCUUUAUAAUCAGAAGAAUUACGUUUCCUAGGAAAACACUGGAAACUUACUUAGUGUCAAACCAUAUGAUCUUAUUUAAAAUGUCAUGACAGAGUUACAGUAAUCUAAUGGUUACAAAAAUAAUUCAUGGCCCUUGGGAGUCGACCAGAGGUUUUCAGAAUUCACAAAACUCUCAUAUAAAGUCCGUCCUCAAGAGAGCGCAGAUUGCUUUUAUGACAGAUGCAAGAAAAUUCUGUUUAGAGGACUGAAUUCCGUGUGUUACCCAGCAAAUGUGAUUAACUUCUAAAUCUAAUAAGCAAGGAACCCGUUCUUGAAACAAAGCAAAGAAGCAUAUUUGCUUCACUUUUUACACACACUAUUUAUUGCCAUGGUUGAGAGACACAGGAUGCAUUCUAAACAACCCGUGUCAAACUCUGCCUGAUAUCCCUCUAGGGAAUUUUUAUUACCUCCCCCCUCCCAAUUUGGCUGUGGUUGGAAAAAUGUGAUAGACAUUAUUCUGGAUGUUGAAAAUAUGUGCCUCCCAUAUACUUUAGAGAUGAUGCCACAUUGCUGAUGAUAUAUCAGCUUGAGGAAAUGUGAAGUCAUCUACUAAAUUAUAUUAGGAAAAAACUUAGUGACUGUACUUAUAUUGGCAAGGUAGAGGUGGGACAGUUACCCAAAACCAUCUCCACCAUAAGAAACCUGGAAAAUGAGUUCAUCGUGGCUCAGUGGUUAACGAACCCGACUAGUAAUCAUGAGGUUAUGGGUUCGAGCCCUGGCUUCUCUCCGUGGGUUAAGGAUCUGGUGUUGCCAUGAGUUGUGGUGUAGGUCACAGAUGCGGCUCGGGUCCCACGUUGCUGUGGCUGCAGCCAGCAGUUGUAGCUCCAAUUCGACCCUUAGCUUGGGAACCUCCAUGUGCUGCGGUGCGGCCCUAAAAAGACAAAAGAGAAAAAAAGAGAAAUCUGGAAAACGAGGUAAUUGUGUGUUUGUCUUCAUCGCACUAAGAACCACAGAUGAGCUGAGAGGUGCUUAACAAGCAGCUGGCCCCACGUCUGCUUGGAUUACGGGGUUGGGAUGGGUGUGGCUCCUGCAGAGAGAAGUAGUUUCGUUAGGACUGCUUGCCUUCCCUGUUGGCGACACAUUUGGAUGCAUGAAGUUACGGCCAGUCUGAGGAGCUGUGGAGACUUUCAGACACAUCUGCACCCUCGAAAUAUGGAAGUGGCAGUCACAUUUACUGACGACUUUCCAGGGACAGCAUCUGCCAGUGUUACCAGGCCACCCCCGGGUCUGCGUACCCGCACAGGAAAGCCAACCCACUGACAGCGGGUUUUGGUGAAGGAAAGUGCGGCAUUUACUGUACAGCGCCGUAUUCUAGUCCGGGACAGCCAGUGUGGACGGAGCCCACACUCCCACUGGGUCUCCGUGGAGGAAGUAGGUUCCACGGAGGAACGCGUUUUUUAAAGGUCAGGUGAAGGCAUCACAGGGUGUGUGAUCCGCGCGCGCAGAGUUCUCUGAUGGGCUGUUGGUGAGGUGAUAGGGCGGUGUCGCGUUUGCCAUCCUUGGGCUCCAGCGCCGUGCUCAUGGCCGUCAGGUGGUUCACAUCUUCCACUGGGUGGGGGCUUUCUCAUCUGCGGAACUUGGGGAAAUGUGCGUCAGGUCCCCUUGUCUAGAUAGUUGAGAGAGGCGCUAACGCAAAGGUAUGGGCAGGGUCUGUCUUGGGAGGCCGUAGGCUUCUGCUGAUUAUGCCCGAAAAUCACCAAGUCGUCCUCCACGUGGUUUCUCCCUCUGAAUUCCACGGUCUUCUAGUUUUCUGCGCUCAGUACUCCGUACCUACUGACAGGGCUAGCUGAGUGAAACCCACCUCGAGAUGACAUACUUCGUCUCUAACCGCGGGUAGGAUAACUUUGCAGGACGAAACAUGAAUUCUUUGGACUUCUAAGGCCCAGACAAAGGAUUUUCCAAACUUCCAGACUCAAAUAUCUCAUUAAAUCUGUCUGUUUUGAGUUUGCGGAUGAUGCUAGUAAAUUAAAAAAAGGAUCAUCUCUCACGGACUUUUGUUUUGUAUGUGACAUCAUGGUGCCCAGAAGAUUUUUUGUGCCUGGCACAGCAGUUGCUAAAGCGAGUGCGAAUGUUGCUGAUGUAUAGGUGCACAGGGAAACUGAGCGGCACUCUGCAGAGGCAGACAGCAGUUGGAAAGGUUACAGUGGUCUUCAGAAGCGGAAAGCCCCAGGACUGGACAGGGGGUCUCGUUGCUGCCUCGGGGCCUCUGUUGAGUCAGCCAGCCUGUGCUAUAUACUUUGGUUGCUGAGCAAAUCUGAGGGGCUUGAUGCUUCCUCCGCUGGCCUCAAGCAUGCCUCAGUUUCAAAAGUGGAGGUGGAGACUUCUGUAUUUCUUAGAAAUGUUUCCGUCUCUUCAGAUGAAUAGCAAUGUAGGAAGGUCACACAUUGUGUAUUAUUGAUGAUUAGCAUCUUCUUCAAGGCCACUCCCUGUAGGGAGAGAAAGCCAAGAACGUUCCCUUCAUUUAAGCUUAUUAGGAAAAGCAGAGCCCUGGACAGCAGGGGAAUUUCUGGGAUGCAUACAAACGUCCCUUUGCAGUGGCCAACCAAUGUUUCCCCUCCACUGGGCUCAACCAAGCAGAUGUUCUUAAUCUUUGGCUGAUAAAUGAAAAUGCAGCUCAUCAUUUCAAAAAUGCAUAUCAUUGACCAGUGUUCAAGCAGUACUGUCUGGGUGGAACAUUUUUACAGAUUGCAGACCUCUUGGAAGUGGAAAUGAGAAGAGAUUUGAGUGUAUAUUAAAGAAUACCACUGGGGUGUGUGUUCAACUUCUGGGAGCAACGACUGUGUAGCUGAUUGAGUCCUAAGCGUGAAUCCACGAGACGUGGUUGCUGUUACUGCGAUCAUAUGCAGAAGUUUUUGUUUAUUUAAGUUAUUCUAGUUCAGUUGGAGCAGCUUUGGAAAUGUGCUUGGGUUACUUACCUAAGCUUAGAGCAAACUUUUCAUGAGCAAUCCCAUUGAGGACUGGAAUUGUUCCUUCUUCCUUGAACUGGGACCUCCAGUUUUAAAUACAAAUAAUUAAACUGUUUUCAAAGCUUUAGGUCUUCCAUUUUGUAUAGUUAACUCAUUGUUAGCCAAGGCAGUUGUCAUCAGGCAACUUCGUAUUGUUUCUUUGGGUAUCCAGUUAAGAGCCUUACUGUAGGCAACUUGAUAAGUCUUCUACCCAAUCCAGAAGGUCUUGAAGAGUUCCUAAAAUUACUUCCAUGGAGAGGUAGCUACCCAAGUCCUAUCAAACUGUGAUGUAGCACUUUUGUUUGGCAGGACUGAAACCAUUUACAUGGAUAGAAAUUUAUAC
rnacentral:lncRNA from 1 species